GCGGUAGUCGUAUAGUGGUUAGUAUGUGGCCUUGCCAAGGCCGCGACCGGGGUUCGACUCCCCGCUGCCGCA
rnacentral:tRNA from 1 species